rnacentral:rRNA from 1 species
UACGAAGGGGGCUAGCGUUGUUCGGAAUUACUGGGCGUAAAGCGCACGUAGGCGGAUCGUUAAGUCGGAGGUGAAAUCCUGGAGCUCAACUCCAGAACUGCCUUCGAUACUGGCGAUCUUGGAGUCCGGGAGAGGUGAGUGGAACUCCGAGUGUAGAGGUGAAAUUCGUAGAUAUUCGGAAGAACACCAGUGGCGAAGGCGGCUCACUGGCCCGGUACUGACGCUGAGGUGCGAAAGCGUGGGGAGCAAACAGG